rnacentral:rRNA from 1 species
CUACGGGUCGCUGCAGUGGGGAAUAUUGCACAAUGGGCGCAAGCCUGAUGCAGCCAUGCCGCGUGUAUGAAGAAGGCCUUCGGGUUGUAAAGUACUUUCAGCGGGGAGGAAGGGAGUAAAGUUAAUACCUUUGCUCAUUGACGUUACCCGCAGAAGAAGCACCGGCUAACUCCGUGCCAGCAGCCGCGGUAAUACGGAGGGUGCAAGCGUUAAUCGGAAUUACUGGGCGUAAAGCGCACGCAGGCGGUUUGUUAAGUCAGAGGUGAAAUCCCCGGGCUCAACCUGGGAACUGCAUCUGAUACUGGCAAGCUUGAGUCUCGUAGAGGGGGGUAGAAUUCCAGGUGUAGCGGUGAAAUGCGUAGAGAUCUGGAGGAAUACCGGUGGCGAAGGCGGCCCCCCGGACGAAGACUGACGCUCAGGUGCGAAAGCGUGGGGAGCAAACAGGAUUAGAUACCCCCGUAGUC